rnacentral:rRNA from 1 species
GACGAACGCUGGCGGCGUGCUUAACACAUGCAAGUCGAACGGGAUGAUUUAGAAGCUUGCUUUUAGAGAAUCUAGUGGCAAACGGGUGAGUAACACGUAGACAACCUGCCGACAGGAUGGGGACAACAUUCCGAAAGGAAUGCUAAUACCGAAUGAAGUCAGAGGAGGGCAUCCUCCUCUGAUGAAAGAUGGCCUCUGAAUAUGCUAUCACCUGUUGAUGGGUCUGCGUCUGAUUAGCUAGUUGGUGAGGUAACGGCUCACCAAGGCGACGAUCAGUAGCCGGUCCGAGAGGAGGAACGGCCACAUUGGGACUGAGACACGGCCCAGACUCCUACGGGAGGCAGCAGUGGGGAAUCUUCCGCAAUGGGCGGAAGCCUGACGGAGCAAAGCCGGGUGAGUGAAGAAGGUCUUCGGAUCGUAAAGCUCUGUUGACGGGGACGAACGUGCGGGGUGCGAAUAGCGCUUUGUAAUGACGGUACCUGUCGAGGAAGCCACGGCUAACUACGUG